rnacentral:misc_RNA from 1 species
AGAUUGAACAAACUGACCAGUAGCAAACAACAGCUUGAGAGCUAUGCAUGAAGGAACGGACGUCCGUGUAUGAUACUGAGGGAAGUAACAGUACUUAGGGUCAUACAACAGAUGCAAUUUCAUCAGUUCAUAGUUGAAAACACAAGAAUUGCGCAGUUCAGUAAACAAAAGUACAUCUCCAAGCCGGAAAGACAAGCCUACGCAUGCGCAAUAACCACUCAGCAGAUACCGCAACGAAAUGGCUUCCAAAGCGACUAAAAUACGAGCUGUUGUAUCUAGUUCUGAUACUGAAUCGUAUGCGGUGCAAGAAAAUGCAACCGGCAGUGGCAGCAAUGUUCCUGCAUUCCUUAUGAAAUUAUGGACUCUCGUUGAAAACCCAUUAACUGACCAUCUAAUAAGCUGGGAUUCGAGUGGUAAGAGCUUUCACAUCUAUGAGCAGUCCCAGUUUGCUCACGAGAUUUUGCCACUCUACUUCAAGCACAAUAAUAUUUCAAGCUUUAUCAGACAGCUAAAUAUGUAUGGGUUUAGAAAAGUUGUUCACGUGGAGCAAGGUGGGCUGAAGGUGGAGAAGGAUGAUUUAGAGUUCCAGCAUCCAUACUUCCAGCGUGGGCAGGAACUACUUCUUGACUUGAUCAAACGCAAAGUUACAAAGAAUGUGCCUACCAAAGAGGUGGCAGGAGUAAAUCUAAAUCUUGAUGAUGUAAACAAAAUGUUGGCUGAUGUUUCCCAACUCCGCGGCAAACAGGACAGUCUGUCAACCAGCUUCCUGAAUCUGAAGAAACAAAAUGAUAUUCUGUGGAAGGAGCUGAUCUCCCUACGACAGAAACAUGUACAGCAGCAGCAGAUAGUAAACAAGUUGAUCCAGUUUUUGCUGUCAUUAGUCACCAGGCAGGGAGGCAUGCCCGGACUCAAGCGGAAAAUUCCGCUUAUGCUAAAGGAUUCCUCUCAUUUGGAAGAUGAAGAGGGGAAAGGUCCCUCCCCAAAGAAAAAGCCACAUUUUUAUGUGGAUAGUCCCAGUGAUCAUGAUUACACAGUGCAGUCUCCCAGCGCCCCAAGUAUGCCAAGAACAGGAUCUAUGAACUCUGCUUCUGGCCCCGUUAUUCAUGAGUUGGUGGAUACUGAUGACUGCCACCAAGAUCACAUCUUGCAAAAUUCAUCACCACUUAAAGACUCCAUCCGUGUUACCCACCAAAUGUCAGUGCCUCAGCCACAAGCACAGACAAGUGCAGUAAAGGCAGCUUCUAACCGAUCACAGACUUCUGGUCUGGAAAGUCUGCUGGACCAGGCACUCAUGUCAGCAAAUAUUUCUCCUCUUGAUGCCAGCAUGGUGACUCCUGAGCAGUCUGAUAUUCCAAAGGCUUUUGUUCCUGACACACUGCCUGGAUCAUCCCCCUCACCUGAGCCACCAGACCAACAGCUGCUGCAGCAACCAAAGAUAGAGUCACAAGAGCAAGCUCUACUUCCCUCCUCUAUUGGACAGGUCAUAUUGAGACCUUCAGACCGACCUCUUUCUUCAACAAAGGACAUGUCAGACCAGUUGGAGUUUUUGCAAGCAGACAUUGAUCACCUUAAGGAAGUUCUCAGCAGUGGUCAGUACAACCUGGAUACCAGCAUCCUUCUUGGGCUGUUUGACCCCCAGAGCCCUCUGCCAGUGAACUUGGACUCCCCUGUAAGUGCUCAUGAGUUGGAGUGGUUGUCAUCUCAUAGGAUCAGACAGUUGUCAGAUAUUAUGGGAGGUGUUGGCAGCACAGAAGCAAGUAUCUCACCACAGAUUAGUGGCAGCAUCACAGGACAAGAACUCUGGCAGUAUCAGCCUCCAGAAGUACUGCCUGACCUUUUUGAUUUUGGAACCCUUACCGCUUCAGAAAUGAAUCAUGAAGAGGAGGAGGAUGAUGAUCUUCCAAUAUUCUUCAACAACGAAAAACGCCAGGAAGAGGGACUGCCAAAUUUCUUUGACAAUAAAGAGACUACCCUGAACACACCAAAACCAUCAUCUAAUGUCGGAUUCCAUUUAGGUGAAAAUGGUGACAUUGACAUAAGUGUUGAGGAUCUUGAUUGAAGGACAGAAAGAGCAGACAGAAUAAUAGGCAGUGCUUUUAUAAAGAAGACAAAUUUAUGAAAAGAGUGUUUUUUGUGAUGAGUGCUACAUGGUAGAUGCAUACCACUGAAAUUGCAUCUGGUCUCUGACACAUGGUCCUUGUAGGAAAGCUUUUCAAGGCUUCACAAGAAUGUAGGAAAGGUUGUAUAGAAACAAACUGAAAGGAAUAUGAGUUGAAGAAAAAGUGUUCAAGCAUACACAAGAUGCCAACUGUAUAAUACAAAACAGUUAUUUGUGUGUUAUUUUCAUCAGUAUUCAAGUACUUCCACUUGUUUCUCAACCCAGAAUAAUGUUAAAUGUUUAUAUGAAAGCAGUGAACACUGAUCUUUCAAGGAGACAACUCACAGAAGCAGUAAUCCAGUUGCAAGAAAGUUCGGUGCAGUGUCAUAAAGUUGACCUUACUAAAGUUCCAUUUACAAAUCUACUUCACAAGAGAGAGAAUCAGAACACAUCCUUAGUCGAUGAACAGUUUGCCACUUUUACUUUCCUUUGUUACCAAAAAAAAAAAAAGUUUCCCUGCAAAGCGUUCACCAAGUAUCGCCUACCAGCCUUCAUGAGUUUUUUCUUGGAGACUGUUCAUGUCUCCACAGAAGUGUGUGCUAAUGGACAACCAUUUGACCAGCAAGCACAAGACUGUUUUGGUACAGCUUCUUCACCUGCAGUUGACAUCACUCGCUUUUAACAAUGCCUGCUAAGCAGGUUGUUUUGUUUUUUUUUAGAAUUUGGAAAGUCAAUCAAGGGAAAUAAUGAAAGGUCCGUUUUGUUCCUUACUGGUCAAAAGAAAGUGAAGGCGUAUUUCAGGUUGUGCUGGGAUAAAAUAACUUGGACAAUUUUAUUUUUUGCUGAAGAAAUUUUCAUUGUGAUUGUUUUACACAAUUUGGUGUUUCACUGUAACUUAAACUUUUCCCUCUACACAUUUUGGGUGAGUGUGUGUAGCUUCAGUGUACAAGAGAAAUAUAUCAUUUUGUUGUUUGAGUAUCUUUGUUGAAGAUAUGCCUUAUAACUGUGGUACACAUGGAAAUGAAGAAUGCAUGUUGACAGUCAUCAGCUUGUUUCUAAAUCCUGUUUUCCUAGCAAGCAUAGUUCGUUUAUUUUAUGGCAAUAUAAGCCUGCAUGUGGUUUGUUUGAGUUUGUCCUUUUUUUCCUCGGUGUAGCAUGGGUUGUUAAUAAGUAAAAUGUACAGUGGCACUUGAGUAUGUUGGAGUGUCUGCCAUUUGCCUUGAAGAUGCCAAUAAAGCAAUAUGCAGAAAGAAUGAAUUAGGACUGGAUUGCAUGAAUUCAUGUGUUUUAAAAAUGUGGCAGGCUGUGACGUAGAAGACUUGACAGUGGCUAGUCUUCAUCGUAGUUUGAAUGAAAUAAAAAAUUUGUAAAUUUGCAUCUUAAAGUAUCCACAUUUGUGGAUAAAGCAAAUAAAGUAUUGUAGUUCUGUGUAAAUGAAAGCUAAUUAUGUGUUUCACAUAUAAAAAUAAAAGGCGGUUUCGUUUUUAUUUUGUGGGGGUUUUUAAAACAGAACUGUAGGUAAUCAACAGCUCUAAUUCAUGUAGAUUUCCAUCAUAUGACCUUUGCUUGCAUUACAAGCACUGUAUAAAAUCUUUAACUAAACUACUAAAGGUGUUAGUUAUAUUAAUGUGCAUAAUUAAUAGAUUUUACUUCUUAUUGUUUGCUCUUUGUCAAACAUCAUAUCAAUCUCAUUGCCAACAUCACAAUACUUUGAAACAGAUGCUAUCAAAGUGAAUAUUAAAAAAAAUGUACAUCUGUUGGGUUAAAUGUGUUGCUUCCAUGAACCUAUAAAUAUUUCACCCUUCAAAUAGAUGUGACUUCACACCACUACCUCAGUUUCAAUUUUUAAAGUAGUCUUCACAUUCUAAGAGGUAUGCUCAUUCAUUGCUCUGCUUUUAUGAAUUGACAUAUGCAACUUGUUCUUCUAUCACAAAUUUAAACAGCAAUUAAUAAAAAAAUUAAGAUUUUUGAUUUAUCAAUUACUUUUUGAUAACGAAAUCAUUUUAAUUCCUUGGCUAAUGGUUUCCAGAAAGCUUGAUUUACUUGCUUCUAGCCUUAUAUGAAUUAGCAGCGAAUACAAAGAAACUAGCAGAAUAGAGUUGUGCUAGAUGUAACAUUUUGUACCAUCAUGUAUUUAAUUCUUUUUGCCGAGAACUAUAGACAACAAUUAUCCUACCAUUUGCUUUCUUUGUUGUUGCUAGUUUGCAAAUGACAAGUUACUAUGACAAUAUUUUCUCUUUUCUUCUGCGUUGAACUGAUUGUGUUUUAUAUUAUCUGUUUGGUGCAGGCAGCAUACUCUACUUUUCAGUGUAGAUUGGUGUCAGUAUUUUGAUUUGCAUUUUACCUCAUUCCUUUUCUCUCACUCAGCUUUUCUUCUUUUGAUUAAGAAGAAUUUGCAAACUACCCCAGGCUCCAAUGAUGUUCAUUCUUGACAAGCGUGUUUCCAUGGGAAAUUAAACCCAUCUUUGUGGAUAUAGACUUUCCAUUUUUCAGCAUAUGCUAAUCAUUCUUUUGUAUAAUUUAUUCACCUCUUUUUUUUUUUCACUGUGUUAAUCACGUUGGCAUAAUAUAGCUUCAGCACACAGUAAUCAACCAGCACUUCCAGUUAAAAUCCUCAUUUAUAUGUUGGCUCUACGCAUAUUUUUGUUGCUAUCUUGUAGGACCUUACUGUCAAGCAUUUUAAAACUAAAAAAGUGGAAGAGGAAAAUAUAAAGCAUAAAUGAGAAAAAAGGCAGUAUAAAGAGGCUGAAUAAAAUUACUGAUGUUUGAGUAAGUAUAGCCUUAUAUAUAUAUUCUUCACAUUUCCACUGGUUACUCUUGUGAUUACAAACCAUGAUUUUACCAUAGACUAAGAAUAUUUUAGGUAUAUCAAAUGCGGUGACAAUAUGAUUUUACGGCCAGGAAGACUGGAUGUAUUAAUAUUGGAAGUGUUGACUAAUAUACAUGCUUUUCCAUGAAACCUCAUAGUAUUUUUUUUUAUCCGAACCCUGCUGCUUUGUAUUUAUUACUGUUCCAGGCUACAAGCACCAGGUUUCUGUGUCCCUUUGUUGAAUGUUUUAUAAAGCAUGUAACAUCGAUUAUAUAUCAAGUGCAGUCACCGACCUUCAGAUUUAAUUGUUAUCACCUUUUAUUCAAAACUUGAAAUUAUUCCACUUUUAAGCCAUCAUCAAAUCGCAAACACAAUGUACAUACUAUUUAAACAACUAUAUAUAUAGUCUUCAACACACAGCUGGUGCUAACUGAAGCCUGACUUCAUCCAUUCCCAGCUUGUAGACAGUGUUUGAAAGGAAGCUUAUUUUUAAAGCCAACAUAUUUUUCUGCCUAGAUCCUUCACAACCCAUGUUUUAGUCAUUUUUCCUGUCGUCUUCAUCAGGUACAGUAUAUUGUUGUUUUGUUGUCAGUAGUGCAUAUAGCAGUUGCCCUGAUCAUCUUGGAGCUGAAUAAUACUCUAUAACCCUUAGAUAUGUUCAAGUUUGUGUAUAUAGACGAAGAACUGAUGUCAACAACAGCAUAUAUUUUUAAAGGAUAAUUUUUCACAAAAUAAAUUAUUAAAAAGGUAA